rnacentral:rRNA from 1 species
UACGAAGGGGGCUAGCGUUGCUCGGAAUCACUGGGCGUAAAGGGUGCGUAGGCGGGUUUUUAAGUCAGGGGUGAAAUCCUGGAGCUCAACUCCAGAACUGCCUUUGAUACUGAGGAUCUUGAGUAUGACAGAGGUGAGUGGAACUGCGAGUGUAGAGGUGAAAUUCGUAGAUAUUCGCAAGAACACCAGUGGCGAAGGCGGCUCACUGGGUCAUUACUGACGCUGAGGCACGAAAGCGUGGGGAGCAAACAG